rnacentral:ribozyme from 15 species
UUCUUGGUUUUCAGAAUUCUUUUUGCUUUUCUUUUCCUUUUUCUCCUUUUUCUCUUUCUUCUCCUUUUUGUGAAUCUG